GGGCAUGGUCUUCAGUCUCCUGCGCUACAAUUUAGGCAAGAUGUAGAAGCUCGUCAAGUUUGUUAAGUUCGUAAACAUACGGCGGCUUUCGGGCAACGCAGGUUCGAGUCCUGCCGGGCCCACCA
rnacentral:tRNA from 1 species